AUAAAAAUUGAUCGCUUCGUAUACGACGAAGAAGCAAAAUUCAUUGGCACGAGAUCUGAAACGUCAGCUCAAGAAUUAAUACGCGGUGUUCGUUUCAUUGGAAAAAAUUCUACGAUUCAGUACUUUAGAAAUAUCUAUCGAUCAAUAUCAAUUUAAAAAAUCAGCAAUGUGACGAAAAUAAAACAAUUAUUGCGUAUCGCACGAAUCGAAGGCAGCAGCGAUCUCGUCAAAGCAGUUACUUUGCAUUACGCCAACGAAGCUACGUAAAAGAGUCGAGUACACACAAAAGAAUAGACUUUGUGGACGAUGCAUUUUCUACGUACUUCGGCAAACGCUUCAGCCUCGAUUCAAUUCUACGAAACGUGUAUGUGUGUUUUUUUUUCGUCAUUCAUCCACAUGCAUCCACGCAUUGAAAUUUUGCCAUCGCAGAGAAAAUAUUUACGCUCUAUUUUGAAAAGAAAAACUAAACCGAUUGGUUUUUCAAAAAAAAAGUAUAAUAAAUAAGUGUGUGACAAUCCUA